CAGAGUAUCAAUUGGAGGGCAAGUCUGGUGCCAGCAGCCGCGGUAAUUCCAGCUCCAAUAGCGUAUAUUAAAAUUGUUGCAGUUAAAAAGCUCGUAGUUGAAUUUCUGCUGCAUUGCUUUUGCUCCUUUACGAGUCUUUGCAUUGUGGCUUAUUUCGGACUUUGUUUUACAAUGUCCGGAUGUUUACUUUGAGAAAAUUAGAGUGCUCAAAGCAGGCUUUCGCCUUGAAUAGUUUAGCAUGGAAUAAUAAAGUAGGACUUUGGUUCUAUUUUGUUGGUUUUAGGUACCAAAGUAAUGGUUAAUAGGAACAGUUGGGGGCAUUCGUAUUUAACUGUCAGAGGUGAAAUUCUUAGAUUUGUUAAAGACGAACUACUGCGAAAGCAUUUGCCAAGGAUGUUUUCAUUAAUCAAGAACGAAAGU
rnacentral:rRNA from 1 species